GACGAACGCUGGCGGCGUGCUUAACACAUGCAAGUCGAACGGAAAGGCCCCCUUGUGGGGUACUCGAGUGGCGAACGGGUGAGUAACACGUGAGUAACCUACCCUUGACUUUGGGAUAACUUCAGGAAACUGGGGCUAAUACCGGAUAGGAGCUCCUGCUGCAUGGUGGGGGUUGGAAAGUUUCGGCGGUUGGGGAUGGACUCGCGGCUUAUCAGCUUGUUGGUGGGGUAGUGGCUCACCAAGGCUUUGACGGGUAGCCGGCCUGAGAGGGUGACCGGCCACAUUGGGACUGAGAUACGGCCCAGACUCCUACGGGAGGCAGCAGUGGGGAAUAUUGCACAAUGGGCGGAAGCCUGAUGCAGCAACGCCGCGUGCGGGAUGAUGGCCUUCGGGUUGUAAACCGCUUUCGCCUGUGACGAAGCGUGAGUGACGGUAAUGGGUAAAGAAGCACCGGCUAACUACGUG
rnacentral:rRNA from 1 species